rnacentral:rRNA from 1 species
GACGAACGCUGGCGGCAUGCCUAACACAUGCAAGUCGAACGGACCGCAUUCUCUAGCUUGCUAGAGAAUGCGGUUAGUGGCGGACGGGUGAGUAACGCGUGGGUAACCUGCCCAUUAGUUAGGGAUAACUCCGGGAAAUCGGUGCUAAUACCUAAUGUGCUUUAGAGAAUGCAUGUUCUUUAAAGGGAAGAUGGCCUCUAUUUAUAAGCUAUCACUAAUGAAUGGACCCGCGUCUGAUUAGCUAGUUGGUGAGGUAGUAGCUCACCAAGGCCUUGAUCAGUAGCCGGCCUGAGAGGGUGAACGGCCACACUGGGACUGAGACACGGCCCAGACUCCUACGGGAGGCAGCAGUGGGGAAUCUUCCGCAAUGGGCGCAAGCCUGACGGAGCAAUGCCGCGUGAGUGACGAAGGCCUUCGGGUUGUAAAACUCUGUCCUUAGGGAAGAAAGUUUUAUAUGUGAAUAAUGUAUAGAAUUGACGGUACCUUUGGAGGAAGCCCCGGCUAACUAUGUGCCAGCAGCCCGCGGUAACACAUAGGGGGCGAGCGUUUGUCCGGAAUCACUGGGCCGUAAAGCGCCCCGUAGGCGGAUUAUUAAGUCAGAUGUGAAAACUUUGGGCUCAACCCUUGA